rnacentral:rRNA from 1 species
CUACGGGAGGCAGCAGUGGGGAAUAUUGGACAAUGGGGGCAACCCUGAUCCAGCCAUGCCGCGUGAGUGAUGAAGGCCCUAGGGUUGUAAAGCUCUUUUGUGCGGGAAGAUAAUGACGGUACCGCAAGAAUAAGCCCCGGCUAACUUCGUGCCAGCAGCCGCGGUAAUACGAAGGGGGCUAGCGUUGCUCGGAAUCACUGGGCGUAAAGGGUGCGUAGGCGGGUCUUUAAGUCAGGGGUGAAAUCCUGGAGCUCAACUCCAGAACUGCCUUUGAUACUGAAGAUCUUGAGUUCGGGAGAGGUGAGUGGAACUGCGAGUGUAGAGGUGAAAUUCGUAGAUAUUCGCGAAGAACACCAGUGGCGAAGGCGGCUCACUGGCCCGAUACUGACGCUGAGCACG